GGWMAACKYUGWMMSAGGGUGCYUAWYCAUGCAGUCGAACGAUGAAGCCCAGCUUGCUGGGUGGAUUAGUGGCGAACGGGUGAGUAACACGUGGGUGAUCUGCCCUGCACUCUGGGAUAAGCCUGGGAAACUGGGUCUAAUACCGGAUAUGACCUCGGGAUGCAUGUUCUGGGGUGGAAAGUUUUUCGGUGCMGGAUGAGCCCGCGGCCUAUCAGCUUGUUGGYGGGGYAAUGGCCUACCAAGGCGACGACSGGUAGYCGGCCUGAGAGGGCGACCGGSCACACUGGGACUGAGACACGGCCCAGACUCCUACGGGAGGCAGCAGUGGGGAAUAUUGCACAAUGGGCGCAAGCCUGAUGCAGCGACGCCGCGUGAGGGAUGACGGCCUUCGGGUUGUAAACCUCUUUCACCCAUGACGAAGCGCAAGUGACGGUAGUGGGAGAAGAAGCACCGGCCAACUACGUGCCAGCAGCCGCGGUAAUACGUAGGGUGCGAGCGUUGUCCGGAAUUACUGGGCGUAAAGAGCUCGUAGGCGGUUUGUCGCGUCGUCUGUGAAAUCCCGCAGCUCAACUGCGGGCUUGCAGGCGAUACGGGCAGACUCGAGUACUGCAGGGGAGACUGGAAUUCCUGGUGUAGCGGUGAAAUGCGCAGAUAUCAGGAGGAACACCGGUGGCGAAGGCGGGUCUCUGGGCAGUAACUGACGCUGAGGAGCGAAAGCGUGGGUAGCGAACAGGAUUAGAUACCCUGGUAGUCCACGCCGUAAACGGUGGGCGCUAGGUGUGGGUUUCCUUCCACGGGAUCCGUGCCGUASCCAACGCAUUAAGCGCCCCGCCUGGGGAGUACGG
rnacentral:rRNA from 1 species